UCCUGCCUAGGGGAAGAGAUUACUCCUCGCCAUAAGACGAACUAAUGGCACGAAGCAACCAUGAAUGCCGCGGUCGUUUUAGAGUCAGAAGAUUUUAUGACAGAAUUCCUCUAUCUCUUCACCUCUUCAGCUCAUGAUGUAGCCCUGAAAUGGCAAAUUACUCUAGACCGCAUCUGCAUUUGCACAGAAAAUCCUGACAAUCCUGUAAAUGCCAACGCACGUGUCGACAGAUUGAAUUUUCUGUGUCACGGUUCCAUGAUAAUCGACGUACCAUCGAAACUCUUCAUAGGAUGUUCCGGAUGACCUCGAGGAUUGGAUUCCCCCACAUCUCUCACAAGAAUAGACUCAUUUGCCACCUUGAAGAUGCUUGCCGAUAAAUCAUUCUACAGCAUGGCAAGGGAUUGUCACACAGAUGUGUUAUGCAUGUCUGAAAAGUUGUCAUGUACAUGUAGACAUAAUUAGAUGGUCACAAAGGAGCGUAUUUCACUAGCAAGCUUUGAGCUGUGUGCAUACAAAUCCCUUACCAGUACUGACAAGUUAUGUUGGUAACUGUUGUCAUCGGAAAUGGACUCAGUAGCUGUUAUUGGCGGCAAGACUCCAUACUAAGGCCAGUGGUGAACAAGCCUGCAUAUAAUCAGUAGUCCACUCCUUUAUGCUUGCCAAACAGUUCUUCCUUUGUCCACCUUAGUGCCAUACCUCUGCAAGUUACCCUGAAGGAUGGACAAAGUGUCAAGGUCAGUCCAACUUCACAGUUGCAGAAAAGACUUCCUGUGCCCAGUGAGGGUGAUGACUGUGAGAGCAGGGAUACCAGGUGUUGUUAGUGCUUUUGAUGUCCUUGGAACAAGAUUUCCAAACUAAGGAAACUACAUCUGGCAUAAAGGCUAUCCUGCCAUGCACCUACAGGUUGUCUGCAACAGAGCUACAAUUUCCUUAUGUCCACACUGACAGUGUGGGGGUCAGUCCAUGACAGUUAUUAAUUAAUUUUUUUUUUUUUAUCUCUUAUUUCUCUGUUGUAACAAUAUUUCCUCCUUUUGAUUUGAGUGUUAACUCUGGCAGAUAUACUUUACGUACUUUAUUCUUUAGCUUAAGCUACAAGUCCAAGUGAUAUACAAUUAUCGAAAGCAUUUUGUUUCUUUUGGUAAAGGUGUAAAACAUGUUCAGAUCUGAUCAUCCAUGGCCUGUUAUUAAUACAGUGUAUUCUAUAUACAUGUUGAAUGAAAAUAACUACUCUAACUCAUUUACAAUCUAGGGCUAAGUUUGAGGAUGUUAUCCAGAAAGAAAUUUGCGCUACUUAAAAAAAAUAUGAUCACUCAACUGAAGAAGAUAAAAGAAUCAAAUUGUUAACAAAAGAUCACAUUGUGUAGAAAUCAAGUAUUCCAGCUGUCGCGUAAUGCGAUCGGUCGUCGCAGGACUUGCUCUCACAGGCACACUAGCAAUCACACAGACUUUCAUGCGCCCGACGCAAGCAACGAAGCCAAUCACUCCUCAGUUGACACAAAACACAUACACUUGAAUUUAUUGGCGGUCACAAAGUACGACUCAUCAGCUCAAAAAAAAAAAAAGUAGAAGAAAAUAACCAUUACAACAAACUACAAAGUAAAGCAAAUGGAGGAGAGCCCCUCUACUGAUAAGAGAAUGAUUGAACACACAAACGUUUUGGACAUGCACAUCCCCCCACCCACCCCCAAAACAGACCUCGAAUGUGGAUGGCUUGCUCGCCAGUCCCAACCACCUGCUCAGAUACUUCUUCGUACAUGCCACGUAUAUUCGAGAACGUCUCCCCGCGCUUGUCGGGUAACGGGACCGGCGUUGCGGGACUUGCUCUCUCACAGCCACACUCGCAAACACACAAACUUCCACGCGCCCGACGCGAGCGACAAGACCAAUCACUCCUCAGUGGACACAAAACACUCACACGAAGUCACAAUACGAGACUAAAAUUUAUUGGCGUUGCAGAGUGCGACCACCAACUCCCCUCCCAAAGAGAGAGAGGGAGAGUGAUGUCCCUUCAUAUAACUGGCUAGAUGGUGUCAGCUCUUCAGCACACUUCGUCUUUACCCGUUUAUCUGCGUCAGUUUUUGUGUACCAAUGCUCAGUGAAUCUGUGAUAUCAUUAUCAAUUUUUUCUGGAUUGGUUGCUGUGUCUUCGCAACUUCUUUCAAUUUUCUAGAGCAUUUUAUUUCAACUAUAACGUCCACGCCAUCUUUUAGAUCUGUGCAUCAUCUGAUAAUUUGUGCCUGUGGUGUUAUUGGUUUGUGGGUAUUUUGAGUGGUGGCAUUCAAUAAACUCUCCAGCCAGACCACGCACAAGAGACAUCUUGUAGGUUCCCGCUCAAGUAUAUUCAACCAAAACGGAACUAAACCUUUUACGGAUUUUUACAUUUUCGGAAUAAGGCCAACACUUGCCUUAUGUCACAUCUCCCUUUCUUUAGUUAAAAUGGACAUUAAUGUUUCAACCUAACUUAAUUAACAUUAAUUUUAGCCUGUAUCUUCCACGCCUAACUUUCUUGCUACAAUUCUAAAAUUACAACUGCACUACGAUAAGCUGAAUCUUCUUUAUCAAGGCGCGUAGCUACCUCAUAGUUCUGCCACUGACGAAGAAAUUUUUUCCAAUUUGCUUCAAUGUUAGAAGACAAAUCCAUCUUUGAGGGAACCGGAACAUUUGCAGUGAAAUGUUUUCUCUGGUGUGUCUCUGUCAUGUUGCUGGCGUCCAACAAAAAAAAAAAACCGAAGUAACCAACGUUCUUGAAGUGGCGUACACGAAUGUUUGUACUAAGCACGGCAAGUCAAAACUUAUGUAGAGUACACAAAACUUUGAAUCAUCCAACUGCACACUAUAAAGACAUGCUGUGAGAAAUGUCACAUUGCAAACUGGAACGUACUGCGCAAUAUUUCGAAAUGGGAAAAUAACUUGCCUACCUGAGAGUUUCUGGAGAAAUCACAUGGCUAGCACUUUGCUGCUCACUUCUGACACCAUGUGGUAUUAUUGGUAUUAUUAUUCAAUAAACUCUCCAGUGAGACCACGCACAAUAGACGUCUUCUUGUAGGCUUAAGAGCAUACAACUACAAAGUAAAGCAAAUGGAGGAGAGCCCCUCUACUGAUAAGAGAAUGAUUGAACACACACAAACGUUUUGGACAUGCACAUCCCCCUAUCCACCCCCAAAACAGACCUCGAAUGUGGAUGGCUCGCUCGCCUGUCCCAACCACCUGCUCAGAUACUUCUUCGUACAUGCCACGUAUUUUCGAGAACGUCUCCCCGCGCUUGUCGGCUAACGGGGCCGGCAUCGCGGGACUUGCUCUCUCACAGCCACACUCGCAAACACACAAACUUCCACGCGCCCGACGCGAGCGACAAGACCAAUCACUCCUCAGUGGACACAAAACACUCACACGAAGUCACAAUAUGAGACUAAAAUUUAUUGGCGUCGCAGAGUGCGACCACCAACUCCCCUCCCAAAGAGGGAGAGUGAUGUCCCUUCAUAUAACUGGCUAGAUGGUGUCAGCUCUUCAGCACACUUCGUCUUUACCCGUUUAUCUGCGUCAGUUUUUGUGUACCAAUGCUCUGUGAUAUCAUUAUCAAUUUUUUUCUGGAUUGGUUGCUGUAUCUUCGCAACUUCUUUCAAUUUUCUAGAGCAUUUUAUUUCAACUAUAACGUCCACGCCAUCUUGCCAUCUUUUAGAUCUGUGCAUCAUCUGAUUAUAUUUGUGCCCACAGACAAUUGUAACUUUUUCAGUACUGCCGAUCAUUGCAGUUUUCCACUUUCUGAUUUGUGGACCUGUGUUUUAUCGUUGCUGCAAACUAGAUCUUGGAUCUUUACGUUUCAACGAUGUCGCCAAUGAUCAGUGCAUUUUGCCAUGGAUACGUGGUUUAAUGUCGUCCUGCUUAUAUUUUAAAGCUGCUGUCACGUUCGCUUCUCAAGGUGCCUGGAUACUCAACUUUGCGUCCCUAAAACUUGAAGUGAAGUAUUCCGACGAAUCUUUCUUCGCCUUUUCUUGAUUGUGGGAGAGCUGAAAUGUUGCUUUGCGUAACGCCGUUUUACCAUGAACUUGUAUUGCUGGACAACUGACAGACGAUUUUUUUCCCACUUGGCUACUGAAAAGAGACAUGCUAUCCCAAGUGAUAUUUCUACAGAUAGUGCAGAUGAGGUGAGAGACAGUAUUGACGGGGCCUGGCCCCGUUUCCUAGUGGUGGAAGGUGCAAAGCAGGCCCGGCCUCUCUCGUCCCUUUCCCCUUUUGCCAUAGUGAAAGGUUUUAAAAACAUCUCAAACAAUUUUUCUGCUAUAAAACGUUUGCGAUGGACAAUUUCUUGUCCAGUGCGCAAAUCAAACAGCUUCUGAAGCUCUCCGCCGAUGGGACGGGAAACAAUUUGUUGAUCGGCCCAUAAAGGUCAUUCCACACCGAUCCCUCAACUCCUCGAAGGGGGUCAUUCGUUGCCCUGACCUUGCUGGGAUGACAGAGACUGACAUCAGGUCCGAAUUGGCUUCUCAGGGGGUUUCAGCGGGACAAAGAGUCGCACUAAGGAAGGACGGGAAAUCUAUCCCUACCAACACUUUAUUCCUAACAUUCUGUCCACCCAAAAUACCCGACUUCAUUGAGGUUGGGUAUUUACGGGUUAAAGUUUCUAUCUUUAUUCCCUCUCCAUUGCGCUGCUUCAACUGCCAGCGUUAUGGACACGGGGCUAGCUUCUGCAAGUCCCAGGCCCGCUGCUUUCGCUGCAGUGGUACCGGCCAUGCGGCAGCUAAUUGCUCUUCAAGCGCAAAGUGUGCAAACUGUGAUGGAUCACACAUCGCAUCGUCUAAAGACUGCCCGAAGUGGAAGGAAGAGGUAGUCAUUCAACGUGUACGUGCGGAAUCUGGCGUCUCGUACGCUGAUGCUUGCCGUAGUGGGUGACUCCUCAGGAAUGCCUUCUAUUUCAAGUUCCAUGUCUUACUCAGCAGCAGUCAUAAAUGGACCAUCUACCUCUGUAUUCAUCCAGACUAUGACAUGGGUAUCUUCAGAAGGUCCUGUCCCUAUAUCUCAGUUUAUGCCUCCUCCUACAAGCUGUGGUGGCACCCAGUCAUCACAGAAAUCUCAAGCCACACAAGCAUCACAGUCGAAGCAUUCCCCUUCACCAAUCAGAAACUUCCCGCCAACGAACACGCAACACAAAAUCGCCAAAAAACAAGAAUACCACACCUCAGACAGACAAGAACAAAACAAAAAUUACCAAAAACACCCAUUACAUCUAGGACCACCACAGUAGCACCUAUCCCUAUUCUAAAUCGUUAUACUCCUCUUGGCGAGCAUGAGAUAGAUAUGUAUGAGCAACGCUUAAUGUCGCAUUCUCCAUCCCGCCGUCCCCUGCCUUCAUCCGCUUCUUCUUCAAUUACUAUGGAGCGGUCUACAUCCCUUCAGCCGUGAUAUAGUCAUAGUUGCUAGCACGGCAUAAAACAAAA